rnacentral:rRNA from 1 species
UACAGAGGGUGCGAGCGUUAAUCGGAAUGAUUGGGCGUAAAGCGUCUGUAGGUGGCUUUUUAAGUCAGGGGUGAAAUCCCACGGCUCAACCGUGGAAUUGCCUUUGAAACUGUAAAGCUUGAGUGUCGGAGGGGAUAGCGGAAUUGCUAAUGUAGAGGUGAAAUUCGUAGAUAUUAGCAGGAACACCGGUGGCGAAGGCGGCUAUCUGGACGACAACUGACGCUGAGGCGCGAAAGCGUGGGGAUCAAACAGG